UGAAACCGUUUAGGGGUAAACCUGAGAAACCCGAAAGGUCGAAGGGAGAAAUUCAUUCGUCGUUCGCGGCGGGAGUCGUUCGGAGCCCGAGACUUACGGCUAUUCGUAGCGCGUUCGCUCGCUCCGUUCGACGAGAGAUCCAGUCGCGAACGCGUGCACUUUUCUCCUGGUAGGACGUCGCGAUCCGUUGGGUGCCGGUUUACGGUCCCGGGAGGAGCCCGACGGCGCCAAAACGCCGUCGGACCCCGGGUAUCUAACCGGCUCGCUCGACGGUAUAAGAAAGGUUCGGGGCCGCUCUUUCGGAGCGUCCGACCCGCGUCAAGCACGUUAUUCGUGUCGGUCAUCGGACCUGGUGCCGAUUCCGACCGCUGACGUCUGUUGGGCGCGGUGUUCUCGGACAGACCUCGCGACCGAUCGGCGACGCUAUAGCUUUGGGUACUUUCAGGACCCGUCUUGAAACACGGACCAAGGAGUCUAGCAUGUACGCGAGUCAUUGGGAAUCACUAAACCUAAAGGCGCAAUGAAAGUAAAGGUCUUCCUUGCGGAGACCGAGGGAAGACGGGCGGUUCGGCCUUAAAACCG
rnacentral:rRNA from 1 species